rnacentral:lncRNA from 1 species
AUAACUUUUAAGGUAUUGUAAAAAAAAAAGUUAGAACUAUAAAAUAAAUAAAAAAUGUAUAGUAUAUAUGACUUUUAAAUAAUAAUUUUGAUAAAAAUAAUAAUAAUGUUAUAAGUUUUUCAUUAUGAAAAAGUAAGAUAUCCACUUAGCUUCUAAGUUAUAAUUGCAAAUGUUUACUAAAACAAUGAAAUACUUUUGUGCUGUAACUUUUAAGCGAUAUACAGUUGUCCGUCCACAAAACCAAACAAGAUCUAAAGUUUGGUAUGACACAAUCUAUAUUUCUACUCUUCUGGUUAGUGUGAAGAUAUAGUUUCCUCUACUCAAUUAUAUAAUGAAGAACAAAAUGUGUGAGUCCCAGUCCCAACAUAUGCUGCCUUUGAAUUUUAACUUCUUUUUAUUUUUUGCUAUUUAAUUUACUUGAAUCUACGUGUGAUGUUGUAAAGAUGAGGAUGAUUCAUUUAAAUUGAAAGGGGAUUUUAGUUACAAUGACCAUGCAGUUGUUGGAGAUGUGAUUGUAUCAUUUGUAAGUUGCUACAAUCAAAUUAUAUGUAUGGGUAGACGCACAACACCAACUUCAGCUAGAACUUUGAAAAUGGGGUUUCACAAGUUUUAUUUCUCUAUUUGUAAAUGUGUUUAGGUUAAAAAAUUCCGAGUUCGAACAUUGCACUUUAUAAAAUACUGAUUUAAGUAAUUAAAUGAUGUGUUUGGUUAUUACAAUUAACAUUGUGGUGCUACAAAUAUAUACUAUUAAUUGGAUUGUUUUAAACAGUAUUAUAUUGCUCAAAUCAGUGCUUUUUGAAGUGGAUAAAGACUCAAAAUUAAGUAAAAUUUAUAAAUUUAAUGAGAAAAUUAAUCAUUUGUUAAUAAUUCAGUAGUACACUCUCGCCUGUAAAAUUAUGUGAUAUUUUUCUAUGCUUUCAAACUUCAAUGGGAAGAUAGAGACUAGAGGUAAGAAGAAUUGUAUCAGCAAACUGUCAAGAAAUAUCAUUGAUACGGAUUCUUCAUAUAAAAAAAAAAAAAAAGAAAUUGUUUAUUGAGCACAUGCCAAAUUCCAAAAGCUUUUCUGGCAGCAUAAUGGCCUCCACUACUUUUUUGCCGAGUAAAAUUAAAUUAAAAUCUCUCAAGCACAGGCGAAAGCAAAAUGGAAUAAAGGCCCAACAUAAAAUAUCAGUUAUAUUCACUUGGCAUUUUAUUAAAAUUAAUUAUCGAGGGCUAUAUACAACCACUCAAAAGUCAAAAGAAAACUUGUUAUUCUCUCUCUCUCUCUCUCUCUCUGCUUAAUUUUCAUCAAGCUUUCUUGAUAUACAAAUUAAUCUAAAGACCAUUUUUUCUUUUCUCUUCUUCUAACCAUGAAGGAUUUGAGUUUUUAUGUUGGAGUAAUAGGUGAGUGUGUGUGUGUGUGUAUUUCUAUCUUUAUAUAUGCAAUUUUUAGCAAAUUAAACAUCAAACAUAGAAAACAUUGCCAUAUAUACAUUUGCAUGCUUUAUAAGUUUUUUGUUUUCUUGUUGCAGGCAGCAUAAUCUCAGUGCUCAUGUUUCUUGCUCCAGUGUAAGUCUUUGAUCAUAUCGACCAAAUCCCAUCUCUUUUAUCUGCACUAUAUCUAAUUAAUUGCAUAUUUAAUUUAUAAAGAUAUAUUACUGCAUCACAAUUAAUUAGUUUUUAUAUAUGAAAAUUGCAUACGAGCAGUAGAACAUUUUGGAGAAUCAUAAAGCAUCGAUCGACUGAGGAAUUUCAGAGCCUCCCCUAUAUCUGCACUUUGUUAAAUUCAUCUCUGUGGACUUAUUACGGAAUCACAAGACCUGGAAGCUAUCUUGUCGCCACUGUAAAUGGCUUUGGCAUUUUAGUUGAAGCUGUUUAUGUAACCUUAUUUUUCAUAUAUGCUCCAACAAAAGCAAUGAGGGUAACUUUUUCUUUUCUUUUUUCUUUUCUAAUAUACACUCACUACUUGUUAAUUGUUUCAUUUAUCAUAUAUAAAAAUCAUUCUCACGAGCUAAGAAAAUAUUACCCACGCCAUGCGUGCAUUUUGGAAUAAUUGCAGGCUAAAACUGCGAUUAUUUUCGGCAUACUGGAUGUGGGAUUUUUAGGAGCAGCAAUUGCAGCGACUCGUUUGGCAUUAGAAGGAGAAGCUCGCAUUGAUGCCAUAGGGUUUAUGUGUGCCGGCCUCAAUAUUAUUAUGUAUGCAUCGCCUCUAUCCGCCAUGGUAAUUAAUUAUCUGCUUAAUUCCUAAUCUAAAAUUUGCUCUUAAUUAAUUAGUUUUUCUUGGUUAAUUAAUUUCUCACAGGAUAAGAUCUACAAUAUUAUUGUUCUUGUUAAUUUCUUUUGCUUUUUUCUUCCAAAACAAGAAGCCUUUCUAUAUUCGGUAUUCUCAUGCCGUAACCAGAUCACUAAUUAUAUAUUUCUCUAUAAGCUACAGAUACUCUUCUUCAUCUUCUUCAUCUUCUUCAUCUUCUUCAUCUUUCCUAAUAAAUAAUAAUUUAUAGAGUUAAGAGUCAAAACUCUCCAUGCAUUCUUUAAUGCGAACUUGUCAUGACAACUCUUCAUCUACUCUUCUUCUUCCUCCUAAUAAAAUAAUAAUGUAUGUCUUUAAUAUAACAAGGCAUGGAAGUGAUUAAUGACGUGAUUGAUGGCGUUAAUCACUUCCCAGAUCCUCUCACUUGUGUAUUCAACUUCAAAAUAUCUAAUGACGCAUAUAAAUAUAUAUAAAUGGUUAAGAUUUAAUUAUUUGGCACAUUACGGCAAGACCCCUGUCUUCAUUAAUAGGGUGGCAAAAUCUGACCUUUAAAAAUGUAUUGAAAAAAGAAAGAAAGAAAGAAAAAGAAAGGUGGCAAAAUCUAAACCAUACUCGCCAUGGCAACAUAUUUCAAGAUAGCUAGCCACCGACAUUGGUUGGGCCGUUGAGGGGCAUGGGGAUCGAGUGGCCCUCAGCUAAGCCGUCAGAUUUUUCUUACAUUAUUAUUAUUAUUAUUAUUAUUAUUUGUUCUGUUUGGUCAUUCAAUAUGUUUUUUUUUUCUUUUCCUUUUUAAUGACAUAAUAAUAAUACUGCAUAUAAUUGCUGGUUCAUGUUUGAUCCACAGAAAACAGUGGUGACAACAAAGAGUGUGGAGUUCAUGCCAUUCAUGCUCUCAUUCUUCUUUUUCUUGAACGGUGGAAUCUGGGCUUUCUAUGCUUUGCUUGUUCGUGAUAUUUUCCUUGGUGUAAGUGCUUUUUCUUUUUCCUUUUUUUUUAAAAAAAUCCUCAUCUCUUUUACAUUUUUCUUUAUUUGCAUAAUCAUGUAACACAUAUAAUUAUGUAGCAACCGUUGGAUGAAAAAUUAACGAUUGUGGAAAUAUAAAAUAAUAAAAUUAUAUUAUUUCUACAACCGUUGAAUUUUUAUCAAAAAAUUACUAUAUAAUCAUAUAUGUUACAUGAUCAUGUAAUAUAACAAAAGUCUUAUUUUUAAUAUUAUUAGUUUGAUUGAAAGGGGCUCACACUCCGGUUGAAAAACCCUAAGCAGACAGUACUGGAUUAAAUGGCUAGGGCAAGUAGGUCCAUUUUAGUCGUAUCACCUAGUGGCAUUAAGGUCCAAACAAAAUUAUUGAGUGUCCACAUUAAUGGCUAAUGCUGCCCCCUUCCAUCUUCGUUCUAUGCUAUCUUUCUCAAACAUAUCAACACGUUCUGCCAAUGUCAAAUUUUUAGAGAGUUUUGGGUACCACACGGUGUGUACAAAUUUAUUGGUUGAUGUACAUUGAAAAAUUCAACUAGUGCAAGAGAACCGCCCAAAAUUUUCCUCAAUUGCGAUGCUUCCUCCAUUAUUUUUGAAUAAUUGAUUCCUAAUUUUUUGGCCCACAAUUUUCCGCUUCAUAAGUUAAUUAUUUAUGAACCCGAUUGUAGUCGAAAAUGAAAACCUUUCUUGGUUCAACCCAUGCCAGCUUAUUAUUAUUUCCUACUUCAUAGCCAUGCCAAUGUUCAUAAGCUUACAGAGAUUCAAUAUUCUGUUAGGAAGAUAAUCUUAUAUUGGCUGGAAAUAAUGAUUGGGUUAAUUAUAUAAGUACUUUUGGUUAAUUUUGUGGUUCAUUAUCUAUAUAUAUAUAUAGGUACCAAAUGGGACGGGAUUUUUGCUGGGAACAGCUCAGUUGGUGCUCUAUGCAAUCUACAGAAAUGCAAAGCCAUCAAAGAAUGCUGCGAAUUCAAUGGAAGAAGGAGCACAACACGAACCGCUAAUUAUCUCUUGAAGGGCAAAGAUAAAACUCUAGAACUUAAGUCGUUCGUUCUUCAUUUUCUUCAAUUUUCAUACUCUCUUACGCAAACGAUAGGGAGGUGAUAUAAUACAAUCGAUCAUAGAUAUAGCUUGUGUGUAAUUAUUCAAUCACCGUUCGCUUGUUGUUUUGAGCUUGUUCAUUAAAGGGGUUGGAGUAUGUGAUUGUAUUCGUAGCGUAUUGUAAUUGUUAAGAAGCCAGCCGGUUGCAUUUUGUGUAAUGUUUUUUCCAGUGUUGAAACUUCAAGGUUUCGUUUUUAAAAUUGUAGAGCUAUAUAAAUUUUAUUUUAUUAUUUAUUAUUAAUAUUUUUUUUUGAGAAUAUAGAGAUAUAUAAAUUAAAGCUUCAUUCAUUUGUUAUUCAUCCGUCUUAUUGGUUACAUACACCAUCAAUCUCAAAUUAAAUAAUUAAUCCAUCUUAUGAUUCGUAAUUUGCAUGCCGCGGCCUGCAUCAACGUGAGAGAGUACAAAUUGAGAUUUGAGGCUUAAAAUUAUCCUAAACCCAAUUUCAAGGCCUCGAUUAUCCUCUUCGAAAACGCCAAAUAAGAAUACGAUUAUCCUUUUUGGGCCGAUGCAGUAAAUAACUUGGGUUGAUUGAAGUUAGCCCAAUAGAGAUUUGAGUCCCUUGAUGUAAAAGGCAUAAGAACAGGCAAUGAGUGAGACUAUUCGCACUCCUGUGAAUCCCUCUUGAAACCCACCCCCCCCCCCCCCCCCCUUAAGUCUAUUAAGAGUAUUUAAAUAAUAUAAAAUUAUUUUAACACUUUCAAAAUGACAAAAAUACCCUCAGUCAAAACUUAUACGUGUAUGUCCAAUUUUUCAGCUUUUAUUUAUUUAUUUUUAUCAUUGUUAAACCCAUACCGGCGUGUUUUUUUUUUUUUUUUGUUUCCUCUUUUUCAGAGCCACAUAUUGUUUUGGACUCUGAGUUUCAGCCACCGGGGGUAAUGGAGCUUCAGUAUCAUUCCCCAGCUAAAUUUUUUUAUUUUGUUUUGAGCAUCAUUGGCAUGAUUCGGGUGUAGUGGCAGCCAUGUGCGUGGUUUGUGGACUAUUGAAGUCGUAUCGGUUUUGACGUGGCAGCAGUGGUGGUGGCUUGGCUUGGUUGUGGUCGACUCGGUGGAGAACGUGGUAGACGGUGACGGCAUGGUGGUUUGUUGAGCGUCCAGCAGCGGCUGGGAGCCAUAAAUGCCGAUCAUGUUGUUGGGUGCAGUUCGGGCGCGAGACAUAAAUUUUUUGUUUUUGGGUUUGGGGUUUAAUUAGAAAUGGUCUUUUUAAUGUAAUUUUGUUAAAAGUAGUUCCACUCAAAGCGAAUCCAUGAACUGUGAAACAUAAAGCACACAAAUUGAAUCUCUAGGGCGGGCCCAAAGUUGUGGGGCCGGGCCUUGAUGCCUCUAAUCUUUUCCCUGAAAGUAUUAUAAGUUAUUAAUACUUAGGGAUGGCAAAAAUCCCCACGGGGACGGGUACCCUCGGGGAUUUUCCCCAUUCGGGGAGGGUACGAGGAUAAUUUUAUACCCAAUUUUUUUUUCGGGGAGGGGACGGGGAAAAUUUUUUACCCAAUUUUUUAUUCGGGGAGGGGACGGGGAUGAGGUGGAAUCCCCAUCCCCUACCCAUUUCCCCAUUUUAAUUUUUAAUUUUAUUUUUAUUUUUAAAAUUACUAAUAAAUAAAUAACAAAAUUAUAAAUAUUGUUAAAAAUAAUAAAUAUUAAAAUAGUUAUAUUAUUAAACUUUUAAACUUAAUUAACUAAUUAAAGUCUUAAAUUUUUAAUCCAAACCACAAUGAUACAGGAGAGAGCUGCCUAAUUAUAAUUUACAACAGUUCUAAUCCUAAUUCGUAUCCUACAUUAGCUCGAAUUGCUAGAGAUAUUUUGGCAAUUCCAAUUACAACAGUUGCUUCUGAAUCAGCUUUUAGCACCGGUGGUAGAGUUGUGAGCUCACACCGUAACAAACUUCAUCCAAGCACAUUGGAGGCCUUAAUAUGCUGUCAAAGUUGGUUACGAGCUUACAAUAGCAGUAUGAGUUUAUUUUACAUUGUAAUUAUAUUAUACAGUUAUUAAUAUUUGCGCUUAUAAGUUACGUUACUUAUAUCAUUUUCAUUGUUUUAGGUUUGAAAUCUGAGGUUAGCUCUCAAUUUGCCACAUUUCUCGAGGAAGAACUAUGUAAACAAUGGAGAUUGUGCAGUUGUUGCAGAUGAAUUAGAUUCAUAUUUGGAUGAGAAAGUUAUAUCUCGGAUGGAAGAUUUUAAUAUUUUGAGUUGGUGGAAGACAAAUGCUAAUAGGUAUCCUACAUUAGCUCGAAUUGCUAGAGAUAUUUUGGCAAUUCCAAUUACAACAGUUGCUUCUGAAUCAGCUUUUAACACUAGUGGUAGAGUUGUGAGCUCAUACCAUAACAAACUUCAUCCAAGCACAUUGGAGGCCUUAAUGUGCUGUCAAAGUUGGUUACGAGCUUACAAUAGCGGUAUGAGUUUAUUUUAAUAUGAUUAAUUUAAAAUCGAAAAUAAAAAAAAUGUAUUAGACUAUUAGUUAUUCGGGGACCGGGGACCCUCGGGGAUCCCCUGUUAUUAUUCGGGGAGGGGAUGGGGAUUCUCUCAACCAAUUCUGACGGGGACGGGGAGGGGACGGGGACAUAUGUAAAAUAUCGGGGAUGGGUAUGGGGAGAUUGGUCCCCUCCCCUCCCCUCCCCAUUGCCAUCCCUAUUAAUACUAGUCGAACCCCACCGCAAUAAAAGUAUUCGAGACUCUUAAAAUAUGUUUGAAAUCAAGAUUUGUGAAAAAAGAAAAAAAGAUAAAGAUAAAAAUUAGUGUCAAUUUAUAAGAACAUUUUCAAUUAACCAUUUUUCUUAUUUUUGGUAGUUCAAAAAACAGAGUAUCAAAAUCAACGAUCAAUGUGUUCAGUAUCCAAUCCACGAGUUUUUGAAACGAUAAUAAGUGGCCUACUACUGUAAAUUAGGCUAAAUUGAGGCUGUUUCUGCAAAUUUUCCCAAUAAAAACCCCUGCGUCAAAGUAAAAAUACAAAAAACAAAAAACAAAAAUUGCACAAACAGACCUCAUGCUGCAAAAAAGCAUUUGGAUGGGUUUCUCAGAAUAUCUGAGCCGUCGCAUUUGAUCAUGAAACAACAAAGCAUGAUAGGGACGGGAGGAGAAAAAUCAACGGCCGUGAUAUACUGUGGAAAAUGGUAGAUGCAUCUGAUGUUGACAGGGGAUCAACUAAAAUCUAAUGGAGGGGGGCACAUCGCAGUCACAGUGUAUUCCUCUCCAAUCAUGUGGUGUUACGUUGCAGUAAACAUUCACGAAGAACUGGACCCCACCACAAGUUCCAUUAAAUAACGAAAAAUUCCCACGUAGCCCCGCCCCCACGGACGUCGCAUGGGACAAAAGCUUUGACUAUCACUGUGUUUUUUUCUGAUCCAACGGUGGAUAUUGCAAGAUAAGACAGCAUAUUGUCACGGGUGUUACGACCCCGUGCGGCCCUCCCCACUCUCAUAUCGCAAGAGUAAGAUUAUUUGGGGCUUAUUAGAAGAAUGGCUCCAGUUACCAACCAAUAUGCAGGGUUUGGCCUAAUCCCUUCUUCUUCAACGUUAAAUUCUUGACUAGCAAUAAGCUUCCUGAACUCAAUUGCACCUUGAAGUAAGUCUCCCACAAUCAGCACAACUAUAGUCAAUACUAACAUAUAAGCGCAUAAUUGGGCAUCACGAUUGCGGUCCGUGCAUUAUGCUUAAUACUAUCUAUCAAUCGCUAAUGUUUUCUCCUUAAUUUAGGAAAGCCUAUUGUUUAUUAAACAAAUGGAUUUUUAUAUAGGUACAAAAAUAAAUAAAAAAAGAUCAAGAGAUUUUUGAUAAAAAGAAAAAUUUCCCAUAAUUCUUAAAUCAUUGGGUGGUUAUUGUUUUCUUUAAAUAUAAAUAAUUCUAAAUUUAACUAAAAUUUGAAUAAAUCUAUAUGUAAAAAUCACAAUCAUAUGUUUUUUUUUUUUAGUUCAAUCUCGGACUACCUCUCGGUAAUUGAUUAUCUUCAGAUAGUUUCUUUUAAUUUUUAAAAAAACCUUGUCUUUUGAAUAAAAAUAAGAAUAACUUAAGGCUUUUUAAAAUAAGGGGGCAAUUUGAAAAUGUUUAAUUCAAAAAGGGGUAAUUUAAAAUUUAUCUUUUUCUAUAUUAAAACUUGAAAACAUUAUUUUUACAAAUUAAAACUUGCAAUUUAAUUGGCAAUGAAAAGAUAAGGUUUUGUUAAAGUAAAAAACUAUAGUUUUUUUUUUGGGAAAUUAAUAAUAUAUAGAUUUAGAUUAGCGAUAAGUCCAGUAUUUUAGCUUAAUUGUAGUUGGGUAUUUUUAAUAAAAUUUUGAUCGUCAAAUUAAAGAAAAACAAACAAAUUCCAGACUGCUAAACGAGUCAAAACAAUUUUGUUAAUGUGGUUUCAUUUUCAAACCCACAUGUGAUCAAUUAUUUAAAUUAAGGUUAGUUUUUAAAUUUUAGCUCAUUUAUUUUUUUUUAGACAUUUCAAUUUAUUCUCUUCUGAAUCAACAUUUAACAUCCUGAGGAGAAGAUUUUCGAUCGAGGAUCGAUCAGUCUAUUUGAGAAAACUCCAUAUGUAUUUGCCCCCCCAAAAAAAAAAAAGAAAUAUUUUUAAGUACAAUAAACAAGAAAAUACUAUUUAUUACACCCACAAUAAUCUUGUAAUCCACGAAAAACAUGAAACGAUUAAAUUCUUCAAAUGGCAGUAACGUGAUUAUAUAAAAUAACUUUGUGGAGCUCUCUGGAGGAGAGACGGAGAGAAUGUCAAGAACAAGGAACGAUAUAUCAAAUAUGAUAUAAGAACUAUUUUGGCUAAAAUUCUUGUGGAGCUGCUUGAAAAAUGCAAAAAGCCAUCAAAUAAAUAUAACUGUAAAUUGUCGUGUUUUUCUUAUUUGUUUCAAAAAUUUCUUUCAUAAUUGAUAGCAACGGCAGAUAAAGAUGAAAGACGGUGAGAUGAGAUGAGUGAGGUUCAGUCAACACAACAUCAUCAGCGGCGGGGACCUCACUCAACCAUUAUAGGCAAACAAGUGCAGCAGUCACGGCUCCACAAACACUCCGCAAUCAUAAAAAAACUCAAAUUAUUUGCACACCAUUUUUCUUCCUUUCUUUCUUUUUUCUCACUGGACAAAAUAAUCAAAUAUCUUUUGAAUUGAUUGAAUAUGCUGUUAAAAUUUGAUUGAUGUAACUACGGGGUUGUUAGAACGUCUACAAGUAAUAUCGAUCGUAAUUUUUUUUAUUACUGAUAGUAAUUUUAUUAUAAACUUCUCAUUGUUGUAUAGCACGUGUAAAUUAAUAUGCAAGUUGUAAAUACAAUGAUAAAAUUAAUUAUUUGAAAUAAUGAAGGAUUUUAACAUAAACAUGUCCUAUAAUAAAAAACUUACAGAAUUGUAGAUAUUUAAAGACUUAUUUUUUUCCUUAGCACAAAUGUUCUUACAUUUUAAAAUAUAGAUUUGACCUACAUUACACAUCAUUAUUUAUAUUAGAACGUAAUAUCGAUCGUAAUUUUUUUUUUGUUAUUGGUAGUAAUUUUAUUAUUAGGCUUCUCAAUGUUGUCUAGCACGUGUAAAUUAAUAUGCAAGUUGUAAAUACAAUGAUAAAAUUAAUUAUUUGAAAUAAUGAAGGAUUUUAACAUAAACAUGUCCUAUAAUAAAAAACUUACAGAAUUGUAGAUAUUUAAAGACUUAUUUUUUUCCUUAGCACAAAUGUUCUUACAUUUUAAAAUAUAGAUUUGACCUACAUUACACAUCAUUAUUUAUAUUAGAACGUAAUAUCGAUCGUAAUUUUUUUUUUGUUAUUGGUAGUAAUUUUAUUAUUAGGCUUCUCAAUGUUGUCUAGCACGUGUAAAUUAAUAUGCAAGUUGUAAAUACAAUGAUAAAAUUAAUUAUUUGAAAUAAUGAAGGAUUUUAACAUAAACAUGUCCUAUAAUAAAAAACUUACAGAAUUGUAGAUAUUUAAAGACUUAUUUUUUUCCUUAGCACAAAUGUUCUUACAUUUUAAAAUAUAGAUUUGACCUACAUUACACAUCAUUAUUUAUAUUAGAACGUAAUAUCGAUCGUAAUUUUUUUUUUGAUAAGCCUCGAGUACAGGAAAAACACUGUGGGAAGAAGAAGCAAAUGGAAGUUGACACGUAGAGUUUAAAACAAGGAGCCAAAAUAUGAAUAAUAAAAUAAAAUCAAAUAAAAGAUUUUGAUGUGAAGGAUGGAAUCUAGUGCAGAAGCUUUUGCUUCCUCAGUCUUCCCAUCCUAACAUGGAAAAUGAUAAAUAAAAUAAAAUAAUGAUCAAUUAAAAGCAAAUAACCACAAUGGGAGGCUUUUAACAGUCUCGUGUGUAGAUUCUUGUGUUUGUGCUUUAGCACCCUAAAAAUUGAGGAUAAGUCUGAAAAAUGUUAGGGUUUUGGCUCGUCGUGAUGCGUGUUAAAAUAAAUUUUCUACGCUUCCAUUAAAAACAGCAUAAUAACACGUGAGCCCCUUGUUUUAUACAUUUUCUUACUAAGAACAUGAUUUGACUAUUUUGUAUCAAAUAAGUCUCUGACUUAUUAAAACAAUCAAUUACCGUGAUAAUAUUGCAUGUUUAUUGUCAAAAUAUAAAAGGAAUCUAUGGCAAUUACCACUAAAAUGUAUUUUAUUUAUUAUAAAGGUAAUUUGAUUAUUUUAUUAUUUAUUAUAACCUAAUUUUAGUCUAAUAUUUAUCAUUGUAUAUAUACUCUAGCUAUUAGUUAAAAGAGUGCGAUGAUUAAUGACAAAUUUAGAAUUUAAUAUUACAAAAGGUAAAAAAUUAUAGAGAUAAAUAUUUAAAGGAAAAAAUCUAAAAAAACAAAAGAAAAGAAAAUAUUGGAAUAAACUAUUACAUUAAUAGACAAAAUUUAUAAAGUUAGGUUAUUAAAAGAAUGAAAUAAGAUUAUAGAAUAAUUAAAGAGUAUUUUAAAAAAUUGAACUCUUUUAAAAAAAUUAUUAUUUCUAAUCUUAAAAGUCUGAAACUCAAGUUUUUGCUAACAAAAAAAUUUACUUAAUCUCUAUAAAUUCUACUCAAAAGUGUCUGUAGAAUUAAAGAAAACAUUUUUAUCAUUACAUAAAUUAUACUGAAUAGUGAAUAUACACUUAAUUGAUUUGAAUGUAUAAACCAAACCUUUAGUUGAGAAAUUGUACAAUAUCAGGGAGCCACAUGUUAUUGACAGUUAUAAAAAUGUAGGAGAAGUCAGUGUUCCACGUGCUUAUGGGGACUCUCUCUCCUUCUUCAAUGAAUCAGUAGUCCAGACCACAUACUCCCAUUACUUCACAACUUCAAUGCAAUUGUUUUUUUUUUUUUUUUGACACUCAAUUGCACUCUCUGAGUCUGACCAUCUGUUCCCCAACCCUUCUUUUGUUUGCUGCUUCAUCCCCACCACUCUCUCUCUUUCCCCAUCACUCCUUCUCACACGCUCACACACAAAUCAACAACUAGCAAGAAAAGCGCUAGCAACUGUUACUGAGCAUUAGUAGUGUUAAUUGAUGAGAAAAUAUUAGCAAUAAGAUUCAUAUAGCAAGCCCUAUCUUCAAUGGAAGCAAGAGUUGUUGGUGUUAAUCAUGAUCAAGGCGCUGCUGCAGCAGGUGCUGCGGUUGAUGAUAUGGGGGAUGGCAUGCAGUGCAGUAACCAUCCGUAUAGGAAUAACCCAGGUGGGAUCUGUGCUUUUUGCCUUCAAGAAAAGCUUGGCAAGUUAGUUUCCUCUUCUUUCCCUUUACCCAUUCGCGGCUCCUCUUCUUCUUCUUCGUCUCCCCCUUCCUUCAGAUCUGACAAUAUUGGUGGUGCUGGUGUUGCUUCCGGCAAUGGCGGUGGCCUUGUUACCGGCAGUGCUGCUGCUGCUUCUCUUUCGCUUUCUCUUUCAGCUCGUCCUACUUCGACUAGUAGUAGUACUACGAGAAGUAGAAAUGUUAGUAAUGGCAUUGCCAAUGAUCAAUUUUAUUACACAACGAGGCGGGCCAGGAUUCCUUUUCUUUUGGCCAAGAAGAAGAAAAAGAUAAUGGUUGGACCAUCAGCAACAUCAGAUCGUGCGGCUGAUAUUGUUUUCAAGAGAAGCAAGUCUACUACAACUCCUAGAAGGGGCCAUGGGCAUUUUCUUGAUGAUACUAAUAAUGAAGAUUUUAGCCCAAGAAAAAGAGGGUUUUGGUCUUUUCUUUAUCACUCUUCAUCAUCAUCGAAGAAUAAAGUUGAUCACAAGAUCACAACUUUAGCAACACCGAAUGGGGGGUCUUCUCAUUUGAGAUCUUCAUUGUCUAAAAAGAGUGCUACCAAUAUUGUGAUAGAGGAAGAUGAUGAUGAUGAUGAUGAAGACGGAAGUCCCAACAGUGCUUCUCAAGCAACUGCUUCAUCUUUUGAGAGGAAAGUUUCAAGAUCCAGAUCUGUUGGCUGUGGGAGCAGGAGCUUUUCAGGUGACUUCUUUGAGAGAAUCUCAACUGGGUUUGGUGAUUGCACCCUCAGAAGAGUUGAGUCUCAAAGAGAAGGCAAGCCAAAAGUGCACAAUGCUGCUUCAUCUUCUCAUCACCAUCAUCACAUGAAAGAAAGAGUCAAAUGUGGUGGCAUUUUUGGUGGGUUCAUAAUGACCUCAUCUUCCUCUUCAUCAUCUUCAUCGUCUUAUUGGGUUUCUUCAUCGUCUACUGAUCAUCAAGAUAAUGUCAAUGGAAAAUCAUCAUCGUCACUUGCUCAUGGAAGGAGUAGGAGCUGGGGCUGGGCUUUUGCUAGUCCGAUGAGAGCUUUCGGCAGCAAGCCCUCUUCAAAAGAUGGCAGCAAAAAAAGAGACCACGUCAUCAGAGAAUCUGCUAAUAAAAACACCACUCCAAAUUUGGCUGCGAUUCCUUCAUUGUUAGCUGUGAGAGGCUAAAGAUUCAUCAUUUAAUUAAAAUUUGGGGUUCUUUGGGUAUACAAUUUCUCUGUUUUCUAUCUUUAAUCCCUUGUUCUUAAUUAAGUUCCUUCUAGUGCUGCUGCCGCUGCUACUGUUACACUUCUUUUUAAUCUUUGUAAUUGUACUUUUGUUUUAUGUGCAAAUUGUUCGUUAUCUUUUCUAGAUCGGCUGGCUAGUAAGCAUAUGCAUUGAGGAGAAGAAAUGUUGACUAGUAUUAAUUAGUUCGUAUGUAUUCUGUUUUGUUGUGUGAUUUGCCGGGGUUUCGUGACGAUGAAUCUGUUAUGUGUUUUCUUUAAUUUGAUAUUACAUUUCAUUUCUAGUGUUUCUUAUUAUUAUUUGUAAGCUGCAUCUCGGGACUUUGUGCGUAUACAGGAGAUUUAGUCUAAUUUUCUAAUAAUUUUUUAGAACAAAGUUGCUGAAUUUUUCUCGGCACAUGCUUACACAUGUUCGUUGGUGAUAGGCAUGUUGGAAGGCCUAUGCUAUGACCAUGUAGACUCAUCCAAAUUUUGUUCUGAUAUGAAUCAAAAUUUAAGUGGAAAAAAAAUUGCGUGAUUACAUGUUUGGUGCAGCUAAGAACACCUAGACUAUUUGACAUUUUGACAUCUAGAGCACUAUAGUAUUGAAAUUUGAAAGAAAAAAAAAAGGGUAUUCUUUGCCAAUGCAAACAUGGUCUUAAGUCCUGAGAGUGAUCGAAUUAUCUCAAGCUACCCAUCACAGCCCUGAUUUUUCCAAACCCUAAUUUAUGACACACGAAAGAUGAUGUACGGAAGGAUGACUACAUUUGGAAACACAGCCUUAAUCAUGCGUGAGCUAUAAAUGAUUUGCCAGUGUAAAGAGCUAGGCCCCCGGCCCCCGGCCACUAAGAGCAGGUUCCUUGUAAAUGGAAGCUGUACUAAUCUGUGGGUGUUUUUUUUUUUUUAUUAUUGUUACAUGAGAUUAAUAUUUAAAUUAUAAUUCAUAUUACAUGAAAUUAUAACUUAUAUUUAUAAAUUAAACUAUCACAUGUCUAAAUUAUAACUCAUAUUACAUGAAAUUAUAACUGAUAUUUAUAAAUCAGACUAUCACUGGGACCAACUUACAUCAAUACUAAUGAAACUCUGUCCAGAUUUUAACCCUUACAAAUAUUCGAGGGAUGUCUACUCCCUACUCUUGAGUAAGAAAAUAGACUACCUUCACUUAAUUUUAAUUAAAAAAUAUAUAUAUAUUUGUGGGAGUUCGAACUGCUGCAGCGUGGCUAAUCUGUGGGUGUUUAUGUGAAGCAAAGAUUCAGUUUACUUUAUUUCUUUCUAAUUCAAUGUUCGAGCUGUUAGUCAAAAUUUGAGUGUGCAACGAAUAAUCAUCACUAACAGUUUGAUUACGGGUCUACUUAGAUUAUAAAUUAUUUCUUCAUUAGGAUGUAAGUAAUCAACAAUUUAUGAAUGUGAAGGAUUCAGAAUUUUGCAGCAUUUAUGAAAAUGAUCCUGAGCUCUGCCCCUUCAUCAUGAGUUGUGAACUAUAAUAUUAAUUGAAUUCUUUUAGCAACACANNNNNNNNNNNNNNNNNNNNNNNNNNNNNNNNNNNNNNNNNNNNNNNNNACAGCAGAUAUAUAUAUAUAUGAUAAUUUCGCAUUAAAAAUGAUUCAUUUUUCAGAAACAAAAUUAAAAAAAAAAAAGAAAAGAAAAGAAAGAAAGAAAACACAAGUUAAAGAUGUGAGAAAAUAAUGAAAGGGACGCAAGAGAAAAGAGCGAAGUACACGAAGGGCAAAGAGACAAGGGAAAAGGCUGCUUCACACUGUUACAUUGGCAAUUUGGGCACAGACAAUUAAUACGUGGACCCAUUCUGGAAGCUGCACUUUUUUAAUCCACAAUGCCCUUUAGAUUUUCAUUUUCCUUUUGUCAUGAAGAUUACAUACUUGCUUUUGAUUCUCAGAAUUCAGAUAUUGGGAAGGGGCAAAGCUCCUCCUCCUUUAUACCUUUUUGAACCAAAAAGUCUUUUUCUUUUGUCACCUAAUUUUCAAACUUAUUUUUUUUCUUUUUUUUUUUUAAUUUAGUAAUUUAGCUCACUUAAUGAAACCUAUUAGCUUUUGCUUUAAAAAAAUGCUAAGUGGGUUGUGUUUGUACAUUGAUCUUAAUUUGUGCUAUUUUCGCAAUUUACUCAAAGAAAAUGGGAAGAAACACAUAAAUUAAAGCUUGGACCGUUGAACGCUUAUUAUUACUUAACCAAAAAAAAAAAAAAAACACACACACACACAAAAACAAAAACAAAAACAAAAACAAAAACGAUUGAACUCUUGAUCUUACUUCUUAGGGCCAAUAAAAUGAAGUUAUGUAGGACGACGCCGUAGGGACACAAAGGGCCGAAAAAUUUAUGGCCAUGCACUGAACUUUCCCUGUUACGUUUGGACGGACUCGACUGCCUACUACUAUUGAAGCAACUAUUGACAACAACUUACGAUAUGGUCAACUAAUUUCAUAAAUAAAAGUCAAUUUAAUGGUAAUAUUGUGAAAAUUUUAAUAAAUACACGCGACACACUUGUCGGCCGAUCGCUUUGAUAUAUGUUAUUAAAAAGGAAUAAAUAUCAAAUGGGCAAGUGAAUUUCGAUUAGUUGUAGAAUUUGUUCAUUUAUUUUAUCUAUAAAAUUGAAAGCAAAAUCUUGAGGCGAAUUUUUCAACGUAUACUAAUUAGAUUGACCUAAACAGUGAAUUCGGUUGAUUAUUGACUAAAAUUGUCGACAUUUGGCAGAAUAAAAUGAGUAACACAUUAGUUUCCUCUUAAUAUGCAACUUGGUGAUAACAUAUCAACAUUUCAAAUAGGACUAUUAAUUUUGCAUACGAUGUACACUUAGAAACUUCGUGAUUAUGGGGUAGUUUAUGCAUUAAUGAUGGCCGUAUGUUUUGGAAAAGGUAAGAAUAUAUGUAUAUUAAAACUAAUAAAGGCGGCUAUUAUUUAUUUAUUUAUUUUUUUUGAAUGAGGCUAUUAUUUAUGUGUUUGUUUUUCCUUCGAGGAGGAAAAUGGGCGUCCUCUAGUUUCAUGGAGUGGGGAAUUUGAUAUGACGUUAAGCUUAUCUUUAAUGGGUUGUUGAACAAAUUAGACCUUUGUGUAUGUUGUAUUGUAUGUUAUAAUCAACAUCAUUAUCGUUUUUUGGAUUCUUGAUUUGCGACAUAAACAUGGGUCCCAUCCUCACAUGCUUGCAUUAUCUUAACAACUUUGAAAGGAACGUUUUCUUUUUUUUCUUUCCUGAUCUUUUGUCGAUUUGAUUCACAAAAUUUCACAAGCCACAAAUUGAUCAACAUUUUUCUUAGUACAAAUUAUUAUUGCUGAUGUUUGUAAUUAUAUAUCUUCAUGUCUAUGGGACAUGGCUAACAUUGAAGCAAGCUUAGAUCGGGCCUAGGCCGAGCCUACACCAAGAUCUAGAAUUGGGCCUACUUGACAGGACCUAUCUUGCUUUGACCAAUGUUUAGGUGCCCUAGUUUUGACUGGGGGUGAUCACAAGCAACAUUUAGGAACUUCUUGUGUUAUCUUCCUGUUAGUAGACCUCGAGUAAUGGUUGUGCGACCCUCUAGCACUAGUCAAAACAUUGGACCCUUGACAAUGGAGUAAUGAUUUUCACCCACUUCAUUUUAUCUUAUCAACCUCUCACUUCUCAAUUAAAUUUAUUUAUUUAUUUCUAACCGCCAAUCCCAUUUGCAGUCACUCUUGGAAUCUUCAACAACAUUACUGUAUGUCGAUCAAUUCGAAUUGGGACACAUGCUAUCGCCCUAAAAUCUCAAUCUCCUAGGCCAAAAUAACGGCACCGUGCAUAUGCCCAGUUGGAACAUGAUCUUUCUUUACUGUUCAAACUACCCAUAUAUUUUUUUAACGUAUUAAAUUUUAUUUCUGAAUGAGAUUAUUGAAAGAGUUGCCGUGAAGUUUUUGGUCCUCCAAUCACUAGACUUUGAUUUCUGAUAUUUAAUUUUAAGUUGUAAUGAUUUUAGUUCAAGCAAGCUGGAGAAAUAAGAAUGAAGCUUGAUUUUUUGGAUAUCGAAUUUCAGAGAAAAGGUUCUUUGUGAUUGUCCGUGAAGAAAUCACCACAUGUGAUUUCAAUGAGGUUAGAUCCGAAAACCUGUAAUAUCGACAUACAACCCAUUACUGUCACCGGGCACUAGUUUACAAAAUUGGCAUAUUCCUCUGUUUCUUCAGGUUUAUUGAUGCCUCUUAGUGGUAUUUAUUUGAAUAAGAUUUUUGCCUUACCAUUUGGUUUAUUGAUGAUUUUUGCGUUACCAUUUGGUUAAUUGAUUCUGCCUCUUAGUGGUAUUUAUGGUUAUGGACCUCAACAAGAAUAAGACUAGUCUGCUGAAUCCUCGAUGUAUUGUUUACAUCUGCAGGUCUUAAAAUUCCAAGAAAUAAGAUCAAUUGUUUACACAAACGUUAAGUUAACCUCCUUAUUUGCAGCGGUCAUCAAACUCAAAGAUGUUUUAGAUUUAGUUUUCCCUGUUUUGUCACUAAAAAUGCAAUCAGAUUGCUGAUUAAGGUUAAAAAAACUAUUGCGUAUCACAAAUUGACGACUGACGUUAACAUAAUUCACCAAGAGAUUGCAAAUGGCCAGGUAAUAAAGUUGCAUCACUUUUGUAAUUUGGUUUGAAUUGUAGAUUUAUACGAGUAGUUAUAAAGACAAGACUUCAUUAGUUUGUGUGCUUGAUAGUGAUUAUGAAAUGCACAGUGACAUAAGCAUAUUAAAAAGAAGCUUCUUCACAAUCAAAGAAGACAAGCCGAGAUCAACCGCUCUUGCAGCUUAACAACAGCCAAAACUUCACUCGUCUUGGCAAAAUGGUUGCUUAACACACUGUGUGCAAGGUUCUUAGAACUCUUUCUGACUUAAAAUAUAUAUAUAUAUAUAUAUUAUAUUAAUUAUGGGAAACUUCGUUCAACCCACCCACAUAGCUGGAUUUAUAAGAUGGUAGGAGUAUUGUCCUUUAUAUAGUGGCUCAACGGUUCCAUCUUGUAAGUUAUAAAUUCCCAUAUCUUUACCUCCAAAUUCAGUGUGUUCCUCCUCGUGCAUGUACCAGUAACCCUCGCCAUAAUCAUCCGUAAAAUAUAUGCAGUUGGUUUUACAACGAGGUUUGCUCGAUACAUCUAGGGAUAGAGAAGAAUUAUGACCCAAAAAGAUAGAUCUAUAAGCCAGAUUCUUGAUCUCCUUCCAUCUUUUGGUACCUAAGUAGACUUCAAAAACUUGAAAUCCAUAUGUUCCAUAAUGUAAGACGUCUUCAUUGCCUGGAUGAACAGGUCGUAAGUCCACGCCUUCACGUGAAACCACCCAUAAUUUUCUAACCGAAUCUUCCGAACCGACCAAAUACAAGCAUUCCUGUUUUUGCCGACGCAAUCCAUCGGGUAAUGGAGCAGAGGCUGAGCGUGCAACAUCACCAUCGAUGGCGAAUAUUUCAGCGUCACCAUUGAUAGCAUAAAACUGGUCUCUGUGACAAACAACAUCCCAAAAACUGGAAUGCUCUGUGUUGUUUACUUUUGUCCAAGCUUCAUCACCAGGCUUGGCCCGGGCUAAUUUCGCAGUGCCACCGUAAAUAAUAACAACUUGCUGCGAAUCUGAAACAGCACAUUUGGACAUACAAAAAGCAAACGUAGUCGUGUUUUCAACAUCCCAAUCCCGGAUUGUGUCCAUGUGUGGGAGUUGGAGCUGAACACGUGAGAAAGGAUGGAACAUAACUCAAACUCAAAUCUGGGGCAAGCUUAAUAAGCCAGCCCCCCCGUGAGGGUAAGUACCUCGCAGAGUCAAAAUCUGGCAAUGUUACACGUCGAAUCAUACCUUGGGUCAGACUGAAGAAAAUAGAUUGAUCUUUGAUAUGUUCUUGAUCUUGAUCUUGAUCAUCCUCUUUCGCUGGUGCGGGUGGAAACACGAGCCAUGGAACUUGACUUGAUUUGUACAUGAAAUUCUCCGAAACUGCAGCGAAUCUCCAUGACGUGCAGACCCCACCAAAGGAAGCAAAAUCCUCGUACCACUUUACCCACCUUGCAAUUUCCACCAGAAGAUCGCCAUGAAGGUCUGACCAACGAUUGUCGUUGGCCGCCAUGGUUUGCUCUCGUUUCUCUACUCUCCUCUCUUCCAUUCGCGUCUGAUUGUUUGUGAUAAAUACACAAGACAUCUAGGGUUAUUUAUGUUUUUGUAGCCACCCGACCGACAGAACUGAAUUCAACCCUUUAUUAAUACUUGUUUUUGUUUGUGAAUGUCAGGAAUUCGGUUUGGAUUCAGAUUUCCCAAAUUAUAUUUUUUCUCUGAAAAAGGAUUUGAAUGCUGCUCUCCAGUCUCCAUAAUCUAUAAAUCUAAUUAUCUUUUUCACCGUUAAAUGAAUUUUUUCAUACGUAGAGAUAGUAACGGGCCGUGUUGGGCCGGCACAACUGAGCAUAGGCCCCUUCAGGUCCGUGAGCCAUCGCAAUACAACCCAUUUGUCAAGUGGGUCAUGACGUAAUUUAAGCACACCUACAUUUCAAUUAAAAAAAAAUUAAAGUUAAUGAUACCAUACAAAUUUUUGUAUAAUACAAAUCAAUGUGACAUAAUAUUAUUAUAGAUUGAAUGAAAACAAAAUAAAGUUUAUAGAUCGUCUAAUGUUCUUAUUCUAUGAAUCAUGUUAUAUUAAAUCGACUUGUACAAAAAUAAUUUGUACAAGUAGAUAUAGGCUUAAACCUUAGAAAUUGGCUAAAAUAUUGGGAGGGAAUCCACUUGAACAAUUUGUUUUUUUUUUUCCCGUAAUACUUGAACAUAAUAAAAAUAUAAAACGGUCAAUUACUGUAUUUACCUUUAAUUUCCUGUUCUUAAUUAAGUUUUAGUCUUUUGUAAUUUUACUUAUGUUUUACCUGCAAGUUGUUGUCCUUUUUAGAUUAGCUAGAAUUAAUUAAUUAGUACAAAUGUAUUCUCCUUUGUUGUGAUUUGCUGGGAUUUUGUGAUGAUGAAUCUGUUGUGCGCUUUGGAUCUCUAUGCAUAAAUAAGAAAUGAGUUUAAUUUUCUAAUGAUUUUGCAAAACAAAAUUUGCUGAAUUUUUUCUUGCACAUGCAUACGCGUGUUUGUUGGUGUUAAGACAAGUUGAAAAGUAUAGGAUCUGACCGGAUAUACGAAUCAAAAUUAGGAAAAAUAAAAGAAAAAAUUGAAAUGAGUAGAGCAGCAAGUAGUCUUUGUGUAUAUACUGUAAAGGUUGUAAAUUGAAAUGAAUCAAGCGAACUUACAUGAACAAAACAUUUGCGAAAAACUCAACUAUCUGAAACAGAAAACCAGAUACAAUUCAAGCUGAUAUUCAUCAAAGAGUGAGAUUUUCACAGAACAUGAAGAGUGUAAAAAGCUUGCCUCAGCGGGUACUUUUUUCAAACACUAGCCUAUAUGAGUAUCACUAAGAUGUGCAAUGCCUAUGGCCAUUUGGUGCCAAAAUUAAAACGCUAAAGCAAAUUUGUUUUUGAUAACAUCUUGAAACUCUUUACAUUGAUAACUAAUCAAAGAUACUACGUGUUAUGCACUAUUAAGACAUAUACUUUGUUUGAUUCUUAAUCAUGUUUGAUUGAUUCUACCACCUUUGCAGUGUUAUAUGUAUGUGUGUGUAUAUAUGGGAUAAUUAUCCAAACUAGUAUCCGGACUGAGGCCGUUGGAUUUAUUUAUUUAUUUAUUAAUCUGCUACACAUGGUCCCAAUCCUGGACUUUAAUUACAGUCUGGGAUCCCAGACCGCAUAACCCCUCUAUAUAUAUAUAAAAGUAAUUUUGCAAUACAGGAAUUCUUUACUUUUAUUGACAAGUUAAUAGACAAAAUCAUGGAAAUGCACUAUUAAAAGUUGUCAAUAACAGUUGAUAUCAAUACAACAGCAAAGACUUAAGAGUGAGUCAAAAUUGCUACUGUAACAACAUCACUUAAAAAGUUAAAGCACCGCUAACAGCAAAGGAUCUGCUGCUAUGCGCCACCACUCCCUAGUGUGCCCUGACUUUGUGGUUCAACAGCAUCUCUCGAAGCUCUGCUGGAUCAAUCUCGACCGCCCGAUUCUCCGGCCUGUAGUACCCAGUGAUGGGAUCUGGGGCCCAGGCAGAAGAGGCCCCAGAAUCCUCUCUCACCGCAGGCCUCAAAUCAUUUUUCUCCAUGAUACCAGUCCGAGAUAUGGUCCCCAAGGGUGCUGCUGCAGCAUAUCCUCUCCUGUCCAUUUAAGAAAUUAUUAAUUAUUCUUAUUAAAAGAAAAAAAGAAAAGAAAGAAAGAAAGAAAGAAAGAAAGAAAUCAUUAAUCAUAAGUGAAAGAAAUGAGAAUUAUAUAACAAAGAAAAAGAUUACUUUAAAGAGUUUUUAUAAUUCACAUGGUGAAACAGAAUCAUAUGAUCUAGCUAGCUUGUGCAAACCGAGGUGUUACUAAAAGCGCUAAUAAUCAAUCUGCAAAUGCUUUAGGUUAUUGAAUUAAUGCGUCUCAAGAAUGCGUUUAAAACAAAAUUAAGCGAUUUCGCCUUUCCAAAGUAUUUGCGGAGGAACAAAUAUACAAGGUCCUGUAUAAUAUUAAGGAAAGAUAAGGGUGCAAAAUAAUAUUUAGCCCAAUUAAGACCGUCCCAAUGUUAGUUUACUUUUUGGCCCCUCGUAUUCAUGAUUUUUAUGUUCUAACCCUCGAUGAAUCCGAUCAUUUUAAAAAAUUUUAUUUUUCACAUACGAAAGUCGAUCAAAAUCACAUGGCGAGUUUACAGAAAGGCUACGUUUGUUUUUUUUUUUUCGAAUUCGUUUGUUUGUUAAGUUAUGAAGGAAAAAAAAAAAAGAAAAACAUUUGGGAGAUGACUUGAUCUCUUCUGAAAUGUCACUAGAAAUGUUUAGAUUGAUCAAGAAACAAAUAUAAACAGCUAAGGAUUCAAUGAUGAUGAGAUCAAGCGACACAACGUAGAACAAGAAACAAGAUAAAAUUAUCAUUUCAAAGAAGACCCAAAGAGAGAGAGAGAGAGAAAAAAAAGAGUUCUGUAAACAGACCUGCUAAUGGAGAGCGAGAUGCCAUCAGCAACAGGAGCAAGAAGAAGCUUAGCUUUGAAGAGAGAGCGGGCCAUUGUUUUAUUUACUUAUAGAACUUAAUAGAUAUGAAGAUAGCUAGCUGGGAUGUUUCUGUACAGUGCUACUACAGAAGAAGAAAGAUUCUGCUCCUGCAGUAGCUAUAGGCAAAAGCUAGCGGCUCGCUCUCUUUGUGCUGUGCUUGUGAGGAAGAAGGCUUUAGGGUUUUCUGUUAUUUAUAAAGAGAAAGGAGAAACUGUGAGGAGGCGACUUGUUGGAUUUGGGUUGGGCCGUUCUUUCAGAAGACAAAAGAUCUUGUCUGAGUAAUCUGACACGUCUUCUUAGGAGUUGAUGAUUCAUCGAAUCCUGACACAAUGUUAUUAUUA